rnacentral:rRNA from 1 species
AGGAAAGUUAAUUCUUCUGAUCCUAUAGAUGUCUUGGACAUAAAACUCAAAAGAUUCAAAACCUUUUUCAAAGGGUGGGUCUUUGAUAGAUAUGGCCAUAACAAGAAAAGGAAGGAAGAUCUUAGAUUGGAGUUAUCCAUGCUCGAAGAACUUGAGGAAAAUGGACCACUUCCCCCUGAACUCUAUAGCAGGAAGAUGGAUGCCAACUUCAAGUUGCAUGAGUUGCUUGUAAAUGAGGAGAUAUUUUGGCUUCAACAAUCCCACGAGAGCUGGCUCCUCAAAGGGGACUUAAACAUAGACUACUAUCAUAAGAUUGCUAAUGGGCGCAAACGUAAAAACACCAUCCAUUCUCUUAAGGUGGGUGAUGAGGCUACAAUUGAGGGCACGGACAACCUGAUUACUCAUGCCACUAGUUUUUACAAGGAUUUGUUUGGCCCAGCUCCUGGUAAUCUGUUCCAUCUUAAUCCUGAUACAUGGACUGACGAUGAGAAACUCUCUGUGAAGGAUAAUAAAGAACUCUGUUGA